rnacentral:rRNA from 1 species
CAAAGGCUACUUCGCAGAGAAUCCUACAUAUCCACCGCACCUCUUCCGGAGAAGGUACCGAAUGCGCCGAUCCCUCUCAGUGAAAAUUUUCAAGCUUGCGAGGCAAAUUGCCGGUAUUUUACUCAAAGAAGAAAUGUUGCGGGCUUAAAGAGAUUUAGUGCAUAUCAGAAAAUCUCCGCAGCUAUGCGUGUGAUUGCAUAUGGCGUUCCCGCUGACUAUGCCGAUGAGUACCUUCGCAUUGGUGAAGAUAUUACAAUUGAGUCAGUGCGUAGAUUUGUAAAAGUGAUCAUCCGUGUCUUUGGUCCUGAGUAUUUUCGGGCACCCAACGAGGAUGACACAAAGAAAUUGAUGGCAUCUAAUGAGGGGAGAGGCUGGUCUGGCAUGCUAGGUAGCAUUGAUUUUAUGCAUUGGACUUGG